AUUGCAAAGCUCAGUCAGUAGAGCAUGAGAUUCUUAAUCUCAGGGCCGUGGAUUUGAGCCCCAUGGACAAAAUAUUGCAAGG